UUAUUAUUGUUUUAUUAAACAUUUUUAUGAAGUUUUAGGUUUAAUUGCCUUUUGCAUCAUGCUUAAUGGAUUUAUUAAUAUAUUAUUAUAAACCGAAAAAUUCAGAUCUUUUAUAAAGUUGCUUUGAGCAAAUUUACGUUAAGUUAAUUUUUAAAAUUUUAUAUUAGUAGUGAUAAGUUAGUCGUUGGAUUUUAUAUCUGUUUUACUGAUUUUUUUUAUUAUUAGACGUUAAGCUAAGAGGUUUAAUGUAUUUUUACACAUUUUAUAAUAUUUAAUUAUAAAUGAGUUAGAGUUACUCUAUUAUCAUAAGUUUUUUAAAAAUUUAUAUAAUUAUAUUAAUGUUUAGUCUAUAGUCAGUAAAUUUAAUUGUUAGAUUUUAUUAUCAUUAAAUAAGUAAUAUAAAUAUGAAUAUUAUUUCUCAAGUUUUGCCCGUCUGUUUAUUAAAAACAUUUCCAAAUUGAAACUUAUUUGGUAGAACCUGCUCUAUGCUAGUUGUAAAUGGCCGCAGUAACUUGACUGUGCGAAGGUAGCAUAAUUAAUUGCCUUAUAAUUGAAGGCUUGUUUGAAUGGUUUGACGAGGUAACAAUAAAUAUUAUUUAUUUAUUUGAAAUUGAUUUUGAGGGCACAGAAUCCUCAGUUAUUAAUUAGACGGAAAGACCCCAGGAUCUUUUAUUUUUGUUUGGGGCAAAUGUUAAUGUUUUAUCAAUAUUUGGACCCUCAUAGUUUAUUGAGUAAGUUACCCUGGGGAUAACAGUGUAAUAAUUAAUGAGAGAUCUUAUCGAAUUAAUUGUUUGCUACCUCGAUGUUGACUUAGGUUUUAUAUAGGCGCAAUUGUUUAUAUUAAUGGUCUGUUCGACCUUUGAAACCUCCAUGAGUUGAGUUAAGACCGGCGUGAGCCAGGUCGGUUCUUAUCUAUUGUAGAGGUUUAUUAGUACGAAAGGACCAUAAACUUUUUUAUU
rnacentral:rRNA from 1 species